rnacentral:misc_RNA from 1 species
CAAAUGGGAAGUUUUACUUUGCAAAAGUACAUUAAGGUCUGUUCCACUCUCCCUUUUUCCAUUUAUUGUGAAAUGAGCAAAUCACAGGAGAACAAGAAAUACAUAAUCAGGGAUUUUAAAAAUAAUGAUUUUGAAAUUAGAUAUCAAUCUGUGCAAGGAUUUAUCAUUUACAGAAAAGAAAUGUACCAAAAAAACACAGGUUCCAAUGCUAAAAAGUAUAUAUUCAACUUUGAAGUAAGACUAGGCCCAUGAAAAACAACAAUGAUCAGCACCACCAUCCCAAGUGACUAAAUUUACUUGGUUUUUGUAAAGUCUCCGCGCAAAGCAUCAUAAUAGACUAGAAAUUUUAAAGGGUGAAUUACUCUAAGGUCCCUAGGUAUUGCCAUUAUUUGCUAGUUGGUCCCUAGAUUUUGACAAUUAUAUUAGUUAAUUCCUUAGAUUCUAUUCCGUCUGCAAAACGGUCCAACCAUCCAUUUUUCUCACAUUUAGCCGUUAGUCAAUGAAAAAACUUAAAUACAUUCAUUAUCAAUGCACUCAGCCCUCCCUAUCCCGGUCCCUCUCUCCCUCCCUCAAAUCCUCCUAAACCAAG